CAGCCGCCGCGGUAAUACGGAGGGUGCAAGCGUUAUCCGGAUUUAUUGGGUUUAAAGGGUCCGUAGGCGGAUCUGUAAGUCAGUGGUGAAAUCUCACAGCUUAACUGUGAAACUGCCAUUGAUACUGCAGGUCUUGAGUAAAUUUGAAGUGGCUGGAAUAAGUAGUGUAGCGGUGAAAUGCAUAGAUAUUACUUAGAACACCAAUUGCGAAGGCAGGUCACUAAGAUUUAACUGACGCUGAUGGACGAAAGCGUGGGGAGCGAACAGGAUUAGAGACCCCAGUAGUCCCUGUCUCUUAUAC
rnacentral:rRNA from 1 species